GCACAGAGUAGAAGCGGCUAGCGACCGGCACGGCCUUCGAGGCAGCCGGCACCGUGGGGCAUUGCUCUUGGG
rfam:Paraburkholderia tropica strain P-31 P31_contig_50, whole genome shotgun sequence.